AAACUACAAGCCUGGAUUUGGAGAACUCAACAAGGGAAAGCAAGGGCAAUGAUCACACUUAAUGGGCCUACAGGCUGGCAGCCGACAGACAGUUGUUUCUCCUCGUGGCACCUUGUGGGAUAAAACUCUACCUAUUGUUUGGCUUUGACAGGAGAAGUGGCACCAAUAGUGCCCCAUGCCAAGUGCUGGCCUUGGAUCAGUCAAUCCAGGCUUU